rnacentral:rRNA from 1 species
UAGGGAAUCUUGCGCAAUGGGCGAAAGCCUGACGCAGCGACGCCGCGUGCGGGAUGAAGGCCUUCGGGUCGUAAACCGCUUUCAGCAGGGACGAAAUUGACGGUACCUGCAGAAGAAGGCCCGGCCAACUACGUGCCAGCAGCCGCGGUGAUACGUAGGGGUCUAGCGUUGUCCGGAAUCAUUGGGCGUAAAGAGCUCGUAGGCGGUUCGGCAAGUCGGAUGUGAAAUCUCCACGCUCAACGUGGAGGGGCCAUUCGAAACUGCUGUGACUCGAGUCCGGUAGGGGAGUUCGGAAUUCCCGGUGUAGCGGUGAAAUGCGCAGAUAUCGGGAGGAACACCAGUGGCGAAGGCGGAACUCUGGGCCGGAACUGACGCUGAGGAGCGAAAGCGUGGGGAGCGAACAGG